AGAGGAAUUAAAUAAUUCAAAGGGUGAGAAAAAAACAAAGUUGGGUCUUUUCUUCUCCUCCAUUGCCGUAGCCUAAAGGGAGGGAGGAGAAAGUUUGGUUGCUUUGAUUUUUGGCUUAGAAGAUGGCUAGAAUGAGAUCUCAUUUGGAAGCUACAGGCUCGAGGAUCGUCAGCAACUAGUCACAUUAUCACUAUCCACUGCUUGUUACUGUUAUGUUUUGAAUUAUUUUAUGGCAUGUAAAGAAUAGACCAGUGGCCGAAGAAUAUUUUGGUUAAUGUAUAUAAGCCAUGCGAAAAUGGCAUCUUUUGAAUGUGUACUUAUGGCAGUUAAAUUGUAUCCCCGACUGUCUUUAGUAUUUACCUAAA